rnacentral:rRNA from 1 species
GACGAACGCUGGCGGCGUGCUUAACACAUGCCAGUCGAACGGAAAGGCCCUGCUUUUGUGGGGUGCUCGAGUGGCGAACGUGUGAGUAACACGUGAGUAACCUGCCCUUUACUUUGGGAUAACUUCAGGAAACUGGGGCUAAUACCGGAUAGGAGCUCCUGCUGCAUGGUGGGGGUUGGACAGUUUCGGCGGUUGGGGAUGGACUCGCGGCUUAUCAGCUUGUUGGUUGGGUAGUGGCUUACCAAGGCUUUGACGGGUAGCCGGCCUGAGAGGGUGACCGGCCACAUUGGGACUGAGAUACGGCCCAGACUCCUACGGGAGGCAGCAGUGGAGAAUAUUGCACAAUGGGCGGAAGCCUGAUGCAGCAACGCCGCGUGCGGGAUGACGGCCUUCGGGUUGUAAACCGCUUUCGCCUGUGACGAAGCGUGAGUGACGGUAAUGGGUAAAGAAGCACCGGCUAACUACGUG